rnacentral:rRNA from 1 species
UACAGAGGGUGCGAGCGUUAAUCGGAAUUACUGGGCGUAAAGGGUGCGUAGGCGGUUGUAUGGGUGUGAUGUGAAAGCCCCGGGCUUAACCUGGGAAGUGCAUCGCAAACUAUGUAACUGGAGUAUAAGAGAGGGUGGCGGAAUUUCCGGUGUAGCGGUGAAAUGCGUAGAGAUCGGAAGGAACGUCAAUGGCGAAGGCAGCCACCUGGCUUAAUACUGACGCUGAGGCACGAAAGCGUGGGGAGCGAACAGG